GGCUAUGAAAUUAAAACUCUAAACAAAACGGAUAGAUCUAACGGUCUCUUGUGAUACAGACACACCACACAAGAAAUCGAUUAGGGCAAACUAAACGAGAAUCAAGAUACAGAUACACCACUUGAUUCUAAUCUAGGCUCCAAGAACACCAUCCAAGUUGCCAAACUUGAACUAGCAUGGAAAUAAUUAAUCAACUCAUAAUCCAAUGAGAAAAUUAACCAAAGAAACUUUUUCAUAAACUCCAAAAAAACUGCCUCUUCUUUUAGCAAAUACGAUUACAUAUAGGAAAGAUAAAAAUAACUAACAACCCAUGUUCCUAUAUUAAAGCUAGUAACUAAACACUUUUCAAAUGAAAAUAACUGACGUACAUGAAAUGCAUUGAAAAGAAAAUAAAAUACUAGAAAAUUAAAGUAAGCUAGCCUAACAUGUGAGCUUGGGUGUUUGCAUGGGUACUCAACAUGAUUUGUGCGCAUCCAUCCUAACCCGACUCACCCAUUUUGACCGACUAUUGGAACGCGGGUUUUGGUUAGAUUGUACCUACGGCUAGCGGUUUCGAAUAGCCGGUCGGUCGCCUAUCAUUCUCUCGGUCUUCGAAAAAGUUUGUCCUCAAACUUGGGCCAAUCGCAACCGCACCAAAAUGUUGCAUCUCGCAUCGGUGGUGGUUUAGGGGGUAUUUCUUGUGGAAGAUCAUGCAUGUAGUAUUCAAGUAGUGAAAUGGACCAAUGGUAUGUUUCAACCAACAACAUCAGCUUGAACUUGGUUAAUUGAACUUUACAAAAUCGCUUGGAACCGUGAAAGGGUAGUAUCACCAAUUUAUCUCUUAAAAUAUCUUUCACAUAUUCUGGUCCACCAAUUUCCUCACAAGUAACCGCAUCCUCUUGUUUCUUCUGAAAAAUUUUACUCUCUUUUUGAUUAUUAAUCCCAUACUCGAGACCUUCAUCUUUCUUGCCCUUACCAUCCACAUCCACACUUGUGUUUACUGCAUUUUGGCCUGCAAAUCAUGUUCCCUGCCUUUUCUUGCAAAAUAACUGACGUACAUGAAAUGCAUUGAAAAGAAAAUAAAAUACUAGAAAAUUAAAGUAAGCUAGCCUA
rnacentral:lncRNA from 1 species